rnacentral:rRNA from 1 species
ACUCCUACGGGAGGCAGCAGUGGGGAAUAUUGGACAAUGGGCGAAAGCCUGAUCCAGCCAUGCCGCGUGUGUGAAGAAGGUCUUCGGAUUGUAAAGCACUUUAAGUUGGGAGGAAGGGCAGUAAGUUAAUACCUUGCUGUUUUGACGUUACCAACAGAAUAAGCACCGGCUAACUUCGUGCCAGCAGCCGCGGUAAUACGAAGGGUGCAAGCGUUAAUCGGAAUUACUGGGCGUAAAGCGCGCGUAGGUGGUUCAGCAAGUUGGAUGUGAAAUCCCCGGGCUCAACCUGGGAACUGCAUCCAAAACUACUGAGCUAGAGUACGGUAGAGGGUGGUGGAAUUUCCUGUGUAGCGGUGAAAUGCGUAGAUAUAGGAAGGAACACCAGUGGCGAAGGCGACCACCUGGACUGAUACUGACACUGAGGUGCGAAAGCGUGGGGAGCAAACAGGAAUUAGAUACCCUGGUAGCGUCGU